AGGCCCUGCAUUCUAAGAUUUCAUAUUGGUAGGGAUGAUACUGGCUUUUUAUUUGCCAGUUCUACAUAAACAGCUAUCAGAUUAUUAUAAAUUUAAGAGUCAAUCCUGGAGUGACGUGAGUAGCAGAAUGCCAAGUCUAUGAGUCACGUGAUAACUACUGGACAUGCACAUGAGAAUAUGACGAGGAUGGUGCCUUAGAAUGGGGAUUCUCAAUCUGAGGUAACAAUGGGAACAAUUACCAUAUAACUAUUCAAGUGUUUAACUAGCCAGUAUUUUAAAAAAUACCUACUACAUCCUCAGCAUAGUCACUGAAGAAAACUAGGGAUCCAAGAAAAUCAUACCAUUUAAAAAUAAUUGAUAUGGGUUUCCUUCCUUGAUAACGG
rnacentral:lncRNA from 1 species